rnacentral:lncRNA from 1 species
UGUUUAACUUUAUGAUUUCUACAAUAUAAUGUCACUGAUCUGCAAUAUUUUAUAAUGGACCAGUUUACUCCUCCCCUCCUUCCCCAUCCCUCUCCCAUAAUAAUAACUAUUUGUAUUGUUUGUUGGUAGCCUUCACUUCCCGUCAUCUGUUUUAGCUCUUAAUUAAAAUUGAGCAUUUAGGUACAAAAUAUUUUCCUGGAGAAUUAAAGUAGAACUGAAAAUGAAGGGAGUUCAAGGAUUUAGUGGCUAACCACCACUCUGCCACUACACAAUUUGUAUGCUUUACUAACCUUGACUUGCUAGUAAUUCUAACAAACAUUUUUGAGUGAUAGCAUCGAUUUUCCAAUUAAUUCUAUGUUGUAGCAGUAUGCUACAACAAAUCUGGAGACAAUAGCUUGCUUGGUCCCAAAUUAUGAGUAUCUUGCUUGCAAUCUUCAUGUGAAAGAUCUAACGUGAACAAAUGGAUUGGUUAGUUUGGUAGUGUCACCUUUAUCACUCAUAUCAGUUAUGUGCUACACUUUAUGAAGAUUGUCAUCUUGAAAGUCAUAGCAAUUAGGUGAGAUGCGGUUAUGCACUCUUCAAAUCCAUUUUUUGAGAAGUGCUGGCUAUUGUGCUUUUCUGGGUCUCUGAGAUCCUAUGAUGAUAUAUGUUGUGUUGAAGGGAUAUCUAUAAUGCAGUGGGAUGAGUAAAGCCCGCUUUAGUAGUGGGAUCAUUUUUAGUCAUUCAUUGAACAAUAAAUCACUACAGACAAUUUCUCGUUAUUUUCUCCUUUCAUUUGAAGUGACCAUAAUAGCUAUAUAUUAGCGUCAACUCUGAUUUAUCUGUGAAACCUUCAAACUGAAACAGUCCUUCCUGACUGGUGGGGUUCGAGGGAUGAGCACCUCCUUCAAUCGUGGAAGUCUUGCACUCUUACUAGAGAUAUGAUUGUUAGCAGUUUAAACUGCUAAAUUUCACAAAGAGUGGCAUUUAUUUUUUCUUCACGUAGAGGACACUAUCAUUUAGAGCUUUCAAAAUAAUGACGUUACAAGGUUGCUAUCACCUGUUCAGGAGCAAGAUAUCCUUAUCAUAAGUUCACUCACCACUUUUGCAGGAAUAUGUUAAGGGCAUAUCAGCUACUGGUAUGCAGUCAAAUUAUGGUUUUGAUGGUCAGAUCAAUGCAUGUUGGACACAUAAAAUGUCUCGAAUGGAACUUGAGUUGAUCUGCUCUUCUAAAUUUCUAAUAUCAGUCAUUCAUGGCAGGUAUAAUUCUAAUCUCAAAGACUUAGUAUUCAUUCUUUUCACCUAACCAUAUCUGCUUAGAUAACUGAGACGAGUCUUUUGGACGUCUAGGGAUGAUGUUAUUGCUCAGUUACGCCAUGCAAGGAGACUUGCAGAGACACUUUACCCUUUUGCUAGAAUGGUAGAACUUCAUGGUGGCCAUCUUGUGAGUCAUGAGAGGACUGCAGAGGUAAAUACGCUGUUUCUGAUUAAUUUAUACAAGUAACUAUACAUUUAUUGGCAUUGUUGGAACCUUGUUGUCUAGAAUUAUGUAAAGUAUAAAGAUUGGGUAUCAGUAGAUGGGAUUCUUGAGGAUUUGCUAAAAAAGAAGAAAAAAUGUGUCAUUCAGCAAUAAGACGAAUAGUUAUUGAUUUAUUUUUUCUUUUGUAAUAGAAAGAUUGUCAUAAAACUUAUUUUAAAAAUCCAAAUUUGCAGUAGAAUUAACUUUUUAUUGCUCAGGUCAAUGAAGCUCUUCUUGAGUUGAUCAGGGCAUCAGAAAGUGAGAUAGACCCACUCGAAUGGACUAAUUUGCCCCAGCCCAGCCCAGGUAAGAAUCACAAACUGAAUAUGAACGUGUUUUUUCCGCAUUGGUUCCUUUUUAGAAUGUUCAUAUGUUAGUAGGUGGGUCCACCAAUAUCACCUACUAAAACCCUGAUUUCCUAAAGGCUAUGGCAUGAAGUUUCCUGAGCUCAUGUUCUCUCCCUUUGUGAGUUUUUCACUUGGAAAGCUCAGUUGGUCUCACUAGCAAACAUGGAAUGGUCUUGUGGACCAUAAAACCCUACCGUACCUUACCCUCAUACCAAUGGAUGUGUAAUGGGAUUUACUAGGUAUUGUUCUUGUUGAUGACAUUUGAUUUAAGGAACCCUUGUUUCAUAAAACUGGUGAUUCUGAUAACAGAAGCAGAAUGGUGAAAGUUAUCAUGAUGAAUGAUUUUAAACAGACCAGAUGAGAACUACAGUCACUUGGAACAAGAGAUCUUCUAAACAUCCUCUUUUGUACUGGCUUUUGUAUUAAUUUUCAAGAUCAUCUUUAACAAAUCCCAUCAUGUGCUUAUAAUAAACUCUCAUCGUUUGUAGGGUGGAUAGUGACAAGAAUAUCAUUAUACAAAAGAAAUCCCGAGGGAGGAAGCAAUAAAAAUUUGAUAUUUGGCAUUGUCGAAAAGCUAUAUCUUUUCCUUCUGUACCUCUUUGGCCUCCUCGUCUUGGCAUUUGAGCAUAUACGGAGAGCUAUAAGAAGUUUAAAACCAGUUAAAGUGGAAGCGGUCCUGACAUAAGCUUCUAUUGACAAAGCAGUCAUUAUGUUUGAGUAAGUACUAGACCCUUUAUCCUUUUCUACUGAAAAGUGAAAACUCAUCGAAUAGGAGCUGUUUUCUAACCAUCUGUAUCUAUUCUUUUCGCAGGGGGUUUAUUAUGACCCGUGUAAUCCGCUUGUAAUACCAAUUUCUAUGAAUAUCUAACAAAAGAGUAUAUAGGAGAGAUGCAGCCAUCUCAGUGUCAGUCGAGAAUAUUAUCUUUAAAAAUUUAGGUGUGGAAGGAGUCAAAACAGCCAAAUAUUUAAGGCAUAUACUUGAACACUAAAAAGAAUCAGGCAGAAUAGAGGGAAUAACUAGCAUCUCUCCCCUUGCAUCUACAUAUAUUAUCAUUGUAUUGCUCCCACUCCUUUUCUUUUUCUUGUGUAAAAAAGGCCUACAGUUAAUAUUCAUAGAAAACAAGAUAUCUCCCUGGUAGUUAUAUAUAUAUAUACGGUCCAGAUCAAGUGCAUACCCCUUAUCUUACUCACCCGUGCUCACCCCUUUUUAGCGACGGACCCGACGACGAUUCGGUCAUACAACCGUCGUCUAUACUUUUAGCGACGCUAUAUGUUGUCUGUCGCUAAAAGUAUAGACGACGACGGUUGUAUGACAGAAACCGUCGUCGGAUCCGCCGCUAAAGGGGGGUGAGCACGGGUGAGUAAAAUAAGGGGUAAGCACUUGAUCCUUGCUCUAUAUAUAUAUAUAUAUAUAUAUGGGCUAUAUGUAUACACAGCUGUGUAUUAUACACCAUAUCUCAGAAUAGAUAUAACGACGGGUAAAACCGUUGUCAUAGCCGACUCUGUAAUACUCAGCUGUGUACAUAUAUUUUUUCAUAUAAAUAUUCUUCUUGUGGCCACAUGAUAUCUCACCGUCGAAACGAAGAUUGUUAUUUGGCUAUUAAACACUUGGAUAAACAGUUUGGAUGUUUGGCGAAUAUGGUCAAUUACGCUGUUGCCCCUCUAUUUAAUAAAAUAACUUUAAUAUGAGAGAGAAUUAAUACUUGUACAAUGACAUCCAUGUAAUGUUGUGUGAAUAUUUUAAAAAUAAUAAUAUGUUGAAUGCAAAUAAUGGGAGCCAAAUCAGAUAGCAUGAUAUAUAUAUAUAUAUAUAUAUAUAUAUAUAUAUAUAUAUAUAUAUAUAUAUAUAUAUACACUUCUGUGCAUGAAGUUGCUUAAUUACUUUUCGUUCACAAAACAAAAUCUCUAAAAUUUUACAUAAAACAACUGAAAUUAAAGCAUACUAUGAGAAGAUAGAGGAACUUGCCUGGCAAAAAAUUGCAUAUGAAAUCAUGGGAGUGAUAAUUUUGUUCAAUUGAUCAAUAUAGUGUCGACACAUAAGCCGAAAAGUGAUCUCUCUACAUGUCAAUCAAUUGACCAAUUUGUUAAAUCAUGGAGAGAAAAAUAACUGAUUUAAGAUGAAGAAGUUAGGAGU